CUACCUUUUAUUAAAAUUAAUAAUAAUAGCUAAUUAAUUUUCUAAAUUGCCCAUUAUAGAUACAACAGUAACUUCCACUUAUCAGUUCACAAAUACACCGUAAAUAAAGGGAAACACUAUCUCAUCUUCCCAUUUUUGAAACGCACGUAAUAUACUUUAGUUUCUCUCUCCCUCUCCAUUAAUUUUAGCCUUUUUUUUCUCAUCAGAAUCUAUCCAUUACCAUCAAGCACGAUUCCACUACAUUUACUGUGCCGAGAUUCGUGGGUGGCUGUGUAUUUGUGGUUUCCCAUUUUGAGUAGUGAAAAUCAUCAAUUAAUGGCGGAUGAAAGCACAUCUGGUAGGGUUACAAGAGCUUCUGGUGAGAAACUUGUUGCUGAAAGGAGAUCUAAGAAAAUCCAUGAUCCUUCCAGAAUCAGAAAUCCUUCAACUGUUAAUUUGGAAAAAAAAAAUGAUUUUGAUACCGCCACAAAGAGGAGAAAAACAUCCGAUGUUGCUUAUAGUAGCAAAGGGAAAAAUGUUGUAGAGACAGUUGUCGGAGAACAACAAUUAACGAUGAACA